rnacentral:lncRNA from 1 species
AUGGCAAAACUGGUCCCCCCCGUGGUGAUUGAACUUAAGUCCGGGGCCACCCCUAUAGGGGUCCGACAAUAUCCCAUGAGCAGAGAAGCUCAAGAGGGUAUACGCCCCCAAAUUAACAAACUGCUCCAACAAGGGAUUUUGGUCCCAUGCAAAUCCCCUUGGAACACUCCUCUACUUCCAGUAAAAAAACCAGGGACCAGGGACUUCCGUCCAGUACAGGACCUUAGAGAAGUCAACAAGAGAGUUCAGGACAUACACCCCACGGUGCCAAAUCCUUAUAACCUCCUCAGCACCUUGCCACCUGGUCGGACAUGGUACACAGUCCUGGAUCUCAAAGAUGCUUUUUUCUGUUUGAGGUUACACCCCAACAGCCAGCCCUUGUUCGCUUUCGAAUGGCGAGACUCCGAGAGUGGACAAGCCGGACAGCUCACAUGGACGAGGCUGCCUCAGGGAUUCAAGAACUCGCCCACUUUGUUCGAUGAAGCCCUACACCGAGAUCUUGCUCUUUUCCGAGCCAAUAACCCACAGGUGACUCUUCUGCAAUAUGUAGAUGAUCUGCUCCUAGCUGCAGAAACACGCGAGGACUGUGAAAUUGGGACCCAAAACCUCCUGGGCGAGUUAGGUAAGCUGGGGUAUCGGGCCUCUGCUAAAAAGGCUCAGUUAUGCCAGAUAGAAGUGACCUACCUAGGAUAUGUCUUGAGAGAUGGACAACGGUGGCUCACAGAAGCCAGAAAACAAGCUGUUAUGCAGAUCCCGGCCCCAACCACUGCUCGCCAGAAUGUUACUAUAGUGGCCCCACACUCUCUUGAGAGCAUCAUCAGGCAACCACCGGACCGCUGGAUGACCAACGCCCGAAUGACGCACUACCAGAGCCUAUUGCUGACAGAGCGAGUAAGUUUUGCACCCCCAGCCAUUCUCAACCCCGCCUCCUUACUACCUGAGGCUGACGAGGCCCCUGCACAUAAGUGUGAAGAAAUACUGGCAGAAGAGACUGGAAUCCGGCCAGACCUCACAGACCAACCUUGGCCAGGGGCGAUGACUUGGUUCACGGACGGAAGCAGCUUUGUGGUAGAAGGUAAGCGGAAGGCUGGGGCGGCAGUAGUGGAUGGAAAGGCUGUCAUAUGGGCCAGCAGUCUGCCGGAGGGUACAUCAGCUCAAAAAGCGGAACUAAUCGCAUUAAUUCAAGCCUUAAGGCUGGCAGAAGGAAGGGCUCUUAAUGUCUAUACCGACAGCCGGUACGCUUUUGCCACGGCUCAUGUACACGGAGCAAUAUACCGACACCGUGGACUGCUGACGUCUGCCGGCAAAAAUAUCAAAAAUAAAGAAGAAAUUCUCAGCUUAUUAGAAGCUGUUCAUUUGCCCCGUAGGGUGGCAAUUAUCCAUUGCCCAGGACACCAGAAGGGAACUGGGCCCGUUGAAAAGGGAAAUCAAAUGGCAGACCAAGAAGCUAAAAAAGCAGCCCAAGGGCCAAUGACUCUGGUGGUGAGAACCCAACAGCCCGCUGCUGAGGAAAUAAAUAAAAGAACCCUCACAGAAGAAGAGGGGCGAGAUUACUUAGCUAACAUACACCAUCUGACUCAUUUAGGAACUAAAAAAUUACUAAAAUUGGUUAGUAAGUCCCCCUAUUACAUUCCUGGAUUAAAAGGAAUUGUGGAAGAGAUAGUAAAAAACUGCCGUGCUUGUGCACUUACCAACGCUGAGUCUAGCAGGCUCCAGGAAGGAAAACGACUGCGAGGAGACAGACCUGGAGCCUACUGGGAAACUGACUUCACUGAGGUGAAACCGGCUAGGUGCCGCAUCAGUUUGAAGUAG